AAUCCUCCUGAAAGUCAUCAACCUGUUCCACACAUUGAUGGCCAGAGUUCUGUGAUACCUGUGUUGAGCAGACAACAUUAUGAACAAUUGAUGACCCUGCUGCAACAAACUCAGUUAGGGGACUCCAUUGCCCAGUCUACUCCUCCCAUGUAUGCUGCCAAUUUUGCUGGUACUAUGCUAACUGAGAGCCCUAUUUUUUAUUCUAAAUUUUGCAUGUUAACUCACAUUAAUUCUGCCACCUGGAUAAUAGACUCAGGGGCAUCUAACCAUAUGACCUUUAAUAAAGAUUUACUCUU
rnacentral:lncRNA from 1 species